AAGCACUUCACAAAUACUAUCUGUGAAUUUCUGUAACAUCCCUCUGAAAUAGGAUUGUUUUCUCCUCUUACAGAUGUGGAAAUCUAAAAAUCAGGGAAAGCAACUGACCCAGCUCAUCUAGGCAAGAAGUUUCAGCCCCAGAAUUAAAAUCAUGAGCAAUACCUGGGCUUUAACCACUGUAGAGCACUCUUCUCUGAUAUGUCCUUUGAAAGCGUAAUAGACCUGAGAGCUGCAGACAGACUCCUCAGAAGUAGCCCAUGAGGCCCAAGGAAUCCACAGACCUGGUUUGCAGGGGAUAGGGUUAUCAAACCUGAUUGUUCCCCUUUCUACUGGAGGCCCCUCUGGUGCUAUGGAGAACUGUUUAAGACAUCAACCCAUGACUAAGAAUAGCGGGUGCUCAUUCUUUGAGAAAGAAAGAUUCUUUGACUUUUCUGGUAGGCCAUUUGAGAUAAUCAUUUGUGUAUCCUAACAAAUGCAACACAAUAAAUGUAAAUCAAAUAAAAUCCUUCCCUUCA
rnacentral:lncRNA from 1 species